rnacentral:rRNA from 1 species
AUUGAACGCUGGCGGCAGGCUUAACACAUGCAAGUCGAACGAGUGGCGGACGGGUGAGUAAUGUCUGGGAAACUGCCUGAUGGAGGGUGAUAACUACUGGAAACGGUAGCUAAUACCGCAUACAAUCGGAUGGGCCCAGAUGGGGUUAGCUAGUAGGUGGGGUAAAGGCUCACCCAGGCAACGAUCCCUAGCUGGUCUGAGAGGAUGACCAGCAACACUGGGACUGAGACACGGUCCAGAGUCCUACGGGAGGCAGAAGUGGGGAAUAUUGGACAAUGGGCGCAAGCCUGAUGCAGCAAGGCCGCGUGUAUGAAGAAGGCCUUCGGGUUGUAAAGUACUUUCAGCAGGGAGGCGUUACCCGCAGAAGAAGCACCGGCUAACUCCGUGCCAGCAGCCGCGGUAAUUC